CGGAUUAGAUACCCGGGUAGUCCACGCCCUAAACGAUGCGCACUAGGUCUCUGGGCUUACUGGGGGCCGAAGCUAACGCGUUAAGUGCGCCGCCUGGGGAGUACGGCCGCAAGGCUGAAACUCAAAGGAAUUGACGGGGGCCCGCACAAGCGGUGGAGCAUGUGGUUUAAUUCGAAACAACGCGAAAAACCUUACCAGGCCUUGACAUGCUGGGGAACCUGCCUGAAAGGGCGGGGUGCCGCAAGGAGCCCCAGCACAGGUGCUGCAUGGCCGUCGUCAGCUCGUGCCGUGAGGUGUUGGGUUAAGUCCCGCAACGAGCGCAACCCCUGCCCCUAGUUGCCAGCGGGUAAGGCCGGGGACUCUAGGGGGACUGCCCGCGAAAGCGGGAGGAAGGCGGGGACGACGUCUGGUCAGCAUGGCCCCUAAGGCCUGGGCGACACACGUGCUACAAUGCCCACUACAAAGCGAGGCGACCGGGCGACCGGGAGCGAAUCGCAAAAAGGUGGGCGUAGUUCGGAUUGCAGUCUGCAACUCGACUGCAUGAAGCCGGAAUCGCUAGUAAUCGCGGAUCAGCCAUGCCGCGGUGAAUACGUUCCCGGGCCCUGUACACACCGCCCGUCACGCCAUGGGAGCGGGUUCUACCCGAAGUCGCCGGGAGCCUGAGGGCAGGCGCCGAGGGUAGGGCCCGUGACUGGGGCGAAGUCGUAACAAGGUAACCAAGC
rnacentral:rRNA from 1 species